rnacentral:sRNA from 1 species
GUGGGUGUGUUUCGGCCUGGCCUGGGUAGGCGCUUGUGCUGCCAGGGCGCCGGGCCCGGGUAGGCCGGGGUCUCGGGUGGCCGCCGGCCCAGGCGCUGGACGGCAGCAGGAUGGGGAAGGCGAAGGUCCCCGCCUCUAAGCGCGCCCCGAGCAGCCCCGUGGCUAAGCCGGGUCCUGUCAAGACGCUCACUCGGAAGAAAAACAAGAAGAAAAAAAGGUUUUGGAAAAGCAAGGCGCAGGAAGUAAGCAAGAAGCCAGCAAGCGGCCCCGGUGCUGUGGUGCGACCUCCAAAGGCACCAGAAGACUUUUCUCAAAACUGGAAGGCGCUGCAAGAGGGAAGACAUCUGGUUUGACGACGUGGACCCGGCGGAUAUCGAAGCUGCCAUAGGUCCAGAGGCGGCCAAGAUAGCGAGGAAACAGUUGGGUCAGAGCGAGGGCAGUGUCAGCCUCAGCCUCGUGAAAGAGCAGGCCUUCGGCGGCCUGACAAGAGCCUUAGCCUUGGACUGUGAGAUGGUGGGCGUGGGCCCUAAGGGGGAGGAGAGCGUGGCCGCCCGUGUGUCCAUCGUGAACCAGUAUGGGAAGUGCGUUUAUGACAAGUACGUCAAACCAACCGAGCCCGUGACGGACUAUAGGACAGCGGUCAGUGGGAUUCGGCCUGAGAACCUCAAGCAGGGAGAAGAGCUUGAAGUUGUUCAGAAGGAAGUGGCAGAGAUGCUGAAGGGCAGAAUUCUAGUGGGGCACGC